AGAACGAACGCUGGCGGCAUGCCUAACACAUGCAAGUCGAACGCUCUUGGGGCUUCGGUCUCAGGGGAGUGGCGCACGGGUGAGUAGCGCGUGGGAACCUGCCCUGUUGUGGGGGAUAACCGAGGGAAACUUCGGCUAAUACCGCAUAAGCCGGUUGUCUUGAAGGAGAUGGCCGGGAAAGAUUUAUCGCGACAGGAGGGGCCCGCGUCGGAUUAGCUAGUUGGUGGGGUAACGGCCCACCAAGGCGGUGAUCCGUAGCUGGUCUGAGAGGAUGAUCAGCCACACUGGGACUGAGACACGGCCCAGACUCCUACGGGAGGCAGCAGUGGGGAAUAUUGGACAAUGGGCGCAAGCCUGAUCCAGCAAUGCCGCGUGAGUGAUGAAGGCCUUAGGGUUGUAAAGCUCUUUCGCCCGCGACGAUGAUGACGGUAGCGGAGAAGAAGCCCGGCUAACUCGCGCCAGCAGCCGCGGUAA
rnacentral:rRNA from 1 species